rnacentral:rRNA from 1 species
GACAGAGGGUGCAAACGUUGUUCGGAAUUACUGGGCGUAAAGCGCGUGUAGGCGGCCCUGCAAGUCGGAUGUGAAAUCCCACGGCUCAACCGUGGAAGUGCAUUCGAAACUGCAGGGCUAGAGUCCUGGAGAGGAAGGUGGAAUGCUUGGUGUAGAGGUGAAAUUCGUAGAUAUUCGGAGGAACACCAGUGGCGAAGGCGGCUCACUGGUCCAUUACUGACGCUGAGGUGCGAAAGCGUGGGGAGCAAACAGG